rnacentral:rRNA from 1 species
AUAAUCAUUUGUCUUUUAAUUGAAGGCUUGAAUGAAAGAAUUGACAAAAUUUUGAUUGUCUCAAUUUGAAAUAAUGAAUUUAAAUUUUAAGUUAAAAUGCUUAAAUUAAUUUAAAAGACGAGAAGACCCUGUAGAAUUUAAUUAUACUAUUUUUAUAGUUAUAUUUUUAUUAAAGAUUAUAAUUUUACUAUAAUUUAGUUGGGAGGACGGAUUAAUUAAAUUAACUUAAUUUAUUUAGAUCCAUAGAUUAAUGUAUAAAUGAUUAUUAUUAUAAUUAAAAGAAAAAAUUACCUCAGGGAUAACAGCGUAAUAUUUUUGGAGAGAUCAUAUUGAUGAAAAUGAUUGC